UGGCAGAACCCCUCCUUUUCUUCCCAAGCCUUAAGCAUUGGCUGCAUGCUCCCCUCCUCUCCUUGAAACAUUGCUUAGUCCCAUGGAAACUUGAGUACGUAGGAUAAGAUGUAAGGAACUCUCACCAGCUCAUUUUAUGAGCGUUGUAAGAAAUGCCAGAUGAUUAUCUGAGGCCUUCCCAACAAACCCACAGCUACGGGGGGAACACAGGGAGGCUGGCAAGAUAGGGAAGUCCUGUGGCCAAAAAUCUUUUGGAGAGAGCAGUUUCUCCUCCCACUUGCAGAGACCACACUUAAAUAUUUGUGGUAUCAUAAAUAUGCUCUUCUAGUGUGUACACUAAUAGGUCUCUGGAAUACAUCUGGUCUUGGUGGAUCUGGACCCUGAGGCUUGGAGCAAGGUCCCAUCUCCACCUCGAGCACGAGCAUCCCGACAUGAGAAUUGUGGCUGACUCUGGUCCCAUGCUCUCUUCAAGGAAGCAACCAUCCCAGACAUGACAGGAGGAGCCUGGGCUUGCAGACAGGAUAAACAGUGCAGGAGCCUGGUGAUGCACAACUUCUGGUUCUUCAUCACCCCAGACUCAUGCUGAAUUGUUGAGGUCUAUGAGCCUUCAUGGACCAACUCAGUGCCAUCAUCUCUCAUCCCAAGGGAUGUUACAGCAAAAAGCCACUGGCGCCCGCAUGGUGCAGAUGUUCUGAGUUUGGUAAUUACUCAGCAAGAAGAUUAAAGAUGUUAAAGUGG